GUAUUCCACCCUCUCCCAUCACCUCGUUUGUUCUGGAAACCCUCGCCGGCGCCGCCCACUCGUGCUUCAUCGCCGGCAACUGGUGGGAUGGACACUGCGGUCAUGGAGUUUUUGCUUGACGUGGUUGACAGGUUAGUUCCCAGCAGAUCUAUGCCUUAUUGCUUUAUGGAUUUGUUGCCCAUAAGCUCCAUCAGCUGAUAGAAGUGCCCCCCUGACGAUCUAUCCUUUUCUUCCGGUGAUGGUUGCCAAUUUUCUCACGUUCCCAAUAAGAGAGGAAUUCGCUGACAGCCUUGAACAGCCGGAUCCGGUUUUGCUGCAUUACCUGAUAGGAAACAGGGCAGUGAAUGCAGAAGCAGGUGAUUCUGAUGGUGGAUCUGGCAUGGCUCAAAAGGAUGGCGAGGAUGGGGCGGAUGUACCAUGAGAAGGUGCCCGUCGGCGACAUGCUGCUUCACCGACGAGGUCAGCUCAGCACACUGACAGAGUAAAUCUAGAGGCCCCUGGGUGGACCAAAAGACCAAUGCAGAGCUAUGGAAGUGGCGAUCAGCAAGACUUACCCUGGCAUCGUGCACCGAUGGUGCAAGUGGCAUGUCCUGAAGAAAGAAAAAGAAACAUUGGGUCCACUGUACACGAAGAAGAUUGAUUUUCUCGGAUAAAUCAGAAAAUAAAAUGAGAAAAAUUGUGGUACUGAAGACUAAGACUCUUUUUUCUCUCUUGAUGAUCACACAAUUGAUGGAGAUUCUACGCCUCGAAGAGAUCCCUAAGCACCAUGUCGUGAAGCGGUGGACGAGAGACGCAAGGGAUAUACUGCCAGAUCACUUGGUCCGGUACUAGUGAGAUAAUUCAGUAAACCUAUCGUUCACGUGUAGGCAUGCAAUGUUGUACCUGAAGGCCAUGGAAGUCGUGUAGAUGGGGGAUGCAAGUGCUGCAUGUUAUGACCAUGUGAAUGCAGGUCUCGGCGCUCUGCUGCUGAGUGGAGCCCCAUUGGCGGAGAAAAGGGAUGGUUUGGCAUUUGAGGACCAAUUGGUUGAAACAAUGGGUGCAAGGCUACAUGGCACCUUGGACAUUGCAAAUGUGGAAGGAGGAGAUGGACGAUGCCACGGUGCUGGGCAUUCUGCUAGUGUGAAUGGGCUGCAUGGUCUUUCAGCCCCGGAUAAGCAUAGAGGCACUGGAAGGCCGACAAACAGCAGAGACAGAGCCCCAUACAAAGGGUUAAGUAAACCAACUAGAUUCUGCAGCAUUUGUCAACGAGAAGAUCACAAAAGGACCACAUGACCGGAUAGAGGGGAUGCACCAAAGAAGUCACGGAAGCCAGGGAAAUGCAAGAACUGCGGAAUAGAAGGGCAUCGGCGGAAUACCUGCAAAAUCCCAAUUGGUUUUACUGGGAACUGAGCUAUAAAAAUUUCAGUUCGGGCUAAAUGUUCUUAACCAGGGGAUUUUCCAGCGUGUUUGAAAUGGACACUCCUCCACUCUAUAUUCCUUCAGUCUAGAUGGUCGUGUGUCCUGCUGUAUCUAAGAGCAUGAACUCUGUGUGUGUAUGUCUGAAUUGCGAUGAACCAUGUAUGGUUUUUGUUUGAAUUCUGAUGAACUAAUUUACUUGCAGACAAA